UUCAUACAGAGAAUGUGAGGCAGGAAAAGGGAGCACUCAGACUGAGCACGAGAUCUCACCAACAUGGAGCCUUUGGUUGGAAGUGUCUCGUGUAGCCCAGAUUGGCCUGGCACUCACCAAGUAAUCCAGGCUGAACCUGACCCAGGGAUGGAAACUGGGGCCUCGUGCAUUCUAUGUACAAGGAAUCUACAACACUGAAAGUAUGUAUUAAUUCAUGUUGUAUUAGUACAUUACAUACUAAUAGUAAAUAUGAGAUGUUUAUAUAUAAAUGAAUUAAAUGCAGACUUAGUUAAUUUUUAGAUAGGUGUGAUGACUCACAACUAUAAUUCCAGCACUUGAAAGGCUGAGGCAGGAGGAUCAGGAGUUCAAGGAUAGCCUGGACAAGAUAGACCCUUUUGAGGGGGGAGGGAAAGACGGCUCAGCUAUCAAAGGCAUUUGCUGCUCUUGAAGAGGACCCAGGUUCAACUCCCAGUACCCAUAUGGUAGCAAACAAUCAUCCACAACUCUGCUCUCGAUGGGUACCAAGCACACUCUGAUGCACAGACAUACAUGCAGGUAAAGCAGUCGUGCACAAAAUUAAUAAAUCUAAUCUAAAAAUGAGAAAGGCAGGGCCUGUCUCAAACAACAACUAAUGAGCUACCAUAGCGUAGCACCAGACAUACAAAUGCAUGGCUUAAUGAAUUAUUUAAAGGUGCACUCAUCCAGAUUGAAACAAUGAAACCACCAGACAUGCUGGAAACACCUUGGGAUAAGCAAUCAAAC